UGUCUGUUCACGUCGUGUUAAUCAGGCUGUCGACACACCUCGGUUUAAUAUAGCUGGAAUUAAACACAUAAAAUUGCUGGAUAAGCACAGAGAGAUUAAUUUGCCAUACUUAAUGUUUAUCUUAAGCAAACAUGAGGUGACGUAAUACGACUCACAGUUGGUCGCCUAACAGACAGUCAAGCAGCAGCUGUGGACAGGUGAUGCAAUUAAUAAGCCUAAAUUUGGUUGAGAAUCCACUGUUGUCUUCAAACAGCGAUGCCUUUUUGUCAUCUGAUGCGGUUUUACCGGGAUGAUCCAACCAAAUGUUGUUCAAACUCCCUUUAAUCCCACAAAAUCUGUGUCGCACAUCUUCAUCCGUCCCUUCUCCGAGAUCGCAGAGAGACCCAGCUCUGUCUUCCUCCACUCCCGUUCCUGUUCUGCCAGGCUCAGAUGAGCUGGCAUCUUACAGAUACAAGAGCGGAGGAGAGACUGCCCAAGGACUGCAUCUGAAUGCUUCAAACAAGAGUUCACUGACAGAAGGAGGUCAUUGAAUUAUUAUCUGUACAGGUACCACAAUCAUGGCACCAAUCGGCACAGAUCUCGUAGGCUGGGCGGUCACAGAGCAACCAGAGGCUGCAUUCCUUUCCAUAGUCGUCCUCUUCAUCGUUAGCAUCGCACUCCUCGUUCUCUGUGCAAGCUGUAAAAAACAUUCAUUUGAGUUGGACAGCCACAGCAUACCCGAGCAGCAGAAAACAUCCACACUUGUGAGCGUGGCAAAAAUGAAUGAUUCAAGAGGCGCCAGACAAAACCCUGCUGAUAACGACAUCACAGAAGAUGAAAUCGGUUUAGAGGCUGUGGAGGGUGAAGGUGAAUACAGACCCUGGAGAAGUCACACUCUCACUCAAGGUUCAAGCCUACAACCUCAAAUAAAUGGCGGGAUUGGGACAACGACUGAGGGAUCGGUAACACUUCAAACUCUCUGAGAAAGUGUGGACAAAAGCCUGCAGAGAACUCCACCAUCUUUAUUAUGCAACCUGAAAUGCUCAAACUAAACAAUCCUCUUCACUAUUUGGAGAUAAAGGGUGUAUGUGUCCUUCUGAAGCUAGGCUGAGGUCCUGCUUUGUGGCAUUGACUCCCAUCAAACUUUGAGACUAUAGGAACUAUAGGAGCCCCUGAUCGGUCCCUCAGCAUUGACUGGAUUGAGUCAAAGCUGAAUCUUUAUGCAAUGGUUCAGACAAGAAUGGUCAGUGUCCCUUAAGAGGAGGAAGCCUGAUCUUCUGGCCACACCUGUUUUGACAAAUAGGGAUCCCUAUUCAGGUGGUCACUUAUAAAUGCAACAUAAACAAGAAAAUCAGGUGUCAUCUCCAUCUGAAGAGGAGGGGGAAGUGUCUGCAUCAUUACCAAAGAGACCUAAACAAAAAUGAAGAUUUUCCUUUUAAUCUUUUUCUAAUGAAGUCCAGUAUUGUGAAAUUAUUCUGUAUUCAUAGUCAUUCUUCGUAGGGGUGCAAUAUAGACUUUCUCUCUCAUAUCAACUGGUCUGUUUAUGUUUUUGGAUUUUUAUAGCAGCAUGCUAGUAAAUACUUUGAGGUUUUGAACAAAUGUAUGUAUUCAAGUGGGCAUGAAUGAUGUAAUUAAAGUAACAGAUGCUUUAGAAUUAA